rnacentral:rRNA from 1 species
UGCGAUUUCCGAACGGGGAAACCCAAUACCAUAAGGUAUUACUGUUGAGUGAAUACAUAGCUCAACNGGGCGAACCGGGGGAACUGAAACAUCUAAGUACCCCGAGGAAAAGAAAUCAACCGAGAUUCCGAAAGUAGCGGCGAGCGAAAUUGGACUAGCCCUUAAGCUUUACACGCGUUAGACGAACAGCCUGGAAAGGCNGACGAUACAGGGUGAUAGUCCCGUAGUUGACGACGUGUGUUCAGUGAAAUCGAGUAGGGCGGGACACGUGAUAUCCUGUCUGAAUAUGNGGGGACCAUCCUCCAAGGCUAAAUAC